rnacentral:rRNA from 1 species
GUGCAGCAGGCGCGAAACCUCCGCAAUGCGGGAAACCGUGACGGGGUCACCCCGAGUGCCACCCGAUGAGGGUGGCUUUUCCCCGGUCUAAAAAGCCGGGGGCAAUAAGCGGGGGCAAGUCUGGUGUCAGCCGCCGCGGUAAUACCAGCCCCGCGAGUGGUCGGGACGUUUAUUGGGCCUAAAGCGUCCGUAGCCGGCUCGGUAAGUCCCUCCUUAAAUCCACGGGCUCAACCCGUGGGCUGGGAGGGAUACUGCCGGGCUAGGGGGCGGGAGAGGCCGAGGGUACUCCCGGGGUAGGGGCGAAAUCCGUUAAUCCCGGGAGGACCACCAGUGGCGAAGGCGCUCGGCUGGAACGCGCCCGACGGUGAGGGACGAAAGCUAGGGGAGCAAAGGGGAUUAGAUACCCCGGUAGU